rnacentral:lncRNA from 10 species
AUAAUUUAUUUAUCCAAAUACAUCCAAAGCAUGAUCAUUUCAACAUGUAAUCAAUAUAAAACUUAUUCAUGUAACAUCUUACAUGUUUUUGUACUAAAUAUUUGAAAUUCAUAUACUUACAGCAUAUUUCUAUUUGGACCAGCUACAUUCCAAGUGUUUAAUGAUCACUUUCACCAGUGGCUACCAGCCUUAAAUAGAGGGCCUGGUGAGGUGGUUUUUCUUUCUCAGAUUUACUGAGAUUCCUUUGAGCCGCUGUAUGAGUCAGGGUUCUCUAAAGGAACAGAACGAAUAGAAUAGAUGAAUAUAUAAAGGGGAACUUAUUAGGAGAAUUGACUCACAUGAUCACAAUGUGAAGUCCCACAAUAGGCAUCUGCAAGCUGAGGAGCUGGGAAGCCAGUCUGAGUCCCAGAACCUCAAAAGUAGGGAAGCCAAUAGUGCAGCUUUCAGUUUGUGGCCAAAGGCCCCAGAGCCCCUAGCAAGUCACUGGUGUAGGUCCAAGAGUCCAAAAGCUGAAGAACUUGGAGUCUGAUGUUCCAGGGCAGGAAGCAUCCAGCACGGGAGAAAGAUGGAGGCCAGAAGACUUAGCCAGUGUAGUCCUUCCACGUUCCUCUGCCUGCUUUUAUCCUAGCUGCCCUGGCAGCUGAUUAGAUGGUGCCCACCCAGACUGAGGGUGGGUCUGCCUCUCCCAGUCCACUGACUCAAAUGUUAAUCUCCUUUGACAACACCCUCACAGGCACACUCAGGAACAAUACUUUGCAUCCUUCAGUCCAAUCAAGUUGACACUCAAUAUUAACCAUCAGAGUCACACAGUUCUCUAAAACAAAAUUAUUUCCUAAGCUCUCUGUAAUUUAUCUUUAUGAUUUUAAAAUGUAUAUUUCAGAUAAGUUCAGACGCUUUUUCAUUGAUUGCAAUUCAGAUUCCUUCAAAUGUCUUCCUUUCUCCAAGUAGAUGGCUAUCUUUGUUUCUCUACUCUAUUCCACCUCCCCACUCCCACUCCCUCCCAGAGAAGAAUUUUUCAUAAAUUUAAAGGGCCACACAUUUUUCCCAAGGUGCUAAGAUUUGCUCCAGACAGAUCAUUAGGGCUUUCUGCAACUUAUCCUACAACCUGAACCCAGCCCACACCAUCCUCAUUAGAAGGCAGCCUACAGAGCAUCAGCAAAAAAAGCUGAAUUUUUUAAAGGAGAAUGCCCUUCCAUAGGACAGAGACAACAGAACAAGAAUCUAAGGACUAUGGGUCACACUUUCUAAAACUCAGCAGAUCUGUCUGGAAUCAAUGUAGUAGACUUGAAAAAUCAAUUUUUCUAGUUAUGCAAAUGAGUUUAACUGGCUUUAUUUUAAAUAGAGAAGAUUGACUGUGUUGGAUCAGUCCUCUUUUUAUUCCAAUCAAAUGCAGAGUAAUAUAAACAAAGUAUGAGCAGAAGAAAGUUGGGUAGAAAAUUAUCUAAUAUACACUAUAUAAGAGUUCUCCUAUGAGUGUGAUUCCUUCUGCAGAGGGUUGCCCUGUUAGUCUUCUUUUCUUCUGGGUCUGGUGUGGUGCCUAGCACCUAGUAGGUCUCAAUAAAUAUUUGUUGGAUUAAUAAACAAAAUACCCAACUUUAAAAAUUUCCAUUGUGUGUACUAUAUGAAUAAUAUUGAAAGGUACUCAAUUAGUAUAGGGUGAAGAAUGCAUGGUCCAGCUACAUUGUUGUUAGCCGAAUAGUUGUUAAAUUAUUGUAAUUUAAAAGAAGUUGGAAAACAACUCCCCACCACCAGCAGCCCUGCCCUCACUGCUCAGUCCCUCCCUCAUUAUCCCACCUCCCAAGAUCCACUCACUGAAGAACGAGGGCCUGGCGCCUUCACUGGCCAUCAGUUCUAAUUGGGCACAUUCUGGCUGGCAAUGUCUGGAUGAAAAUAUUUUGAAUAUAAUUCUCAAGUGUGUGUUGAACCAAACCCUCUGGAAAAGCAUAUGACGUAAAGUGCCUUAAGUUAUAUUUAUUGUCCAUGAAAAAACAUUCCUGAUAGAAAUUUUUAGAAGUUUUUUAUUGCUGAUAUGUUUUCAUAAGACUAUGGAAUACACUGUGAAAGAAACUAAUUGUACAUAAGGAUCCUUUUGUGAAAAUAAAUUUCAUUCUGAUUUAAUAUAAACCCAUUAAAACAUCUCAUUUACCUCUCUUACAAUUGAUUUUGUUGUAUUGUUAAAAGGUUUUCUGUACAAAUUUGGCAUUGCAGAAGUAUGUUUCGAAUAGUAUGGGAAAAACAAAUUAUCAGAGUUUAUCAGGGGUGGGGAAUAUUUACAAAUCCUCAACAAAACUUGUAGUGUUUGGUCACACGAAGACAAAAACAUGAAAGAAUACCUGAGAAAAAUACUUGAGACAAAGAGAGAAGAAAUAAAGCUGUUAGUCAUGGACACUUCUGAUGCAUUUUGUACAGGUAUAACUUUCUAUACUACAGUGUAUUCUUAUUUAUCUUGCAGAUAAAUCCUCCCUUCCAUUUUGAGUUUUGAAAGGGGAAAAAUAGACAAUUUAUGAAAGCAUGAAAUAUAUUCAAAGAGCUCUCAUAACCCGAUUAUGUGUUCUUAAGCUCUCUCUGAAGUUUUGAUAUAAUCAAGUGAAUAAAUAAUUUUCAAAAAUCGUAUGUAAUACAUUUGUAAGAGCAUAUCUUAUUGCAGAUAAUUUCUUUAUAGAAUUAUGCUUCAAUACAUGACAGGAAACUGAAUUUUAUUAGACAACUAAAACCAUAAAUAAACAAGGUGAGACUGUUUUUACCGAAUUGGGAGAUAGAGAUCUUGUGAAGGUUUUAUUAGCAACUAUCAGCUAGGCCCAACAAAUGAUUAUGGCGAAGCUUGGAAAGACAGUAGUCCAUCUUAACAUAGUCAAAAAGAUUUCAAUACAAAUAAGUGUCAGGGUUCAAACAAACAUAUACAUCCAAAAUUGCUUUGCCUUGGGAUAAAUCCUGUCUUUGUACCACUAGUCUCAUGAAUUUCAAUCUUCCAUAGUAAGUUUGUAGUAAGGCAAAAGAUAAAUAAAGACAUAGGGCAUCCAGUAAAGUCAUGGAGCCCUGUGAAGUCUUUACCCUGAGGAUUAAAGAAGCAGGUGGUAGGAUAAUCAGAUCUUAUUUGUGGGCCUGGUUUUCUCAAAUACGGUUUGUGCUUUAUCAAAUGUUUUCUCCAAUUUUCUAUACUUUUUCAAAUCUCUUUUUUUCUCUCUCUUCAAAAUCUUUAUCAGACUCUCCCUUAAAAAUACUGUUUCCUUUAAUAAUUCAGAGUAUUCAGAGUAUUGACGAUCUAAUAGAUUCUUAAAUAUGCAACAUAAAAAUAGUUGGAUGCGCCAAAUAAAUUCCUGUAUUAAGGUACUAUAAUUUUAUUUUUCACCAUAUAAAGAGAGCAUCAUCUGAGAAAGAUAUUUGGGAAGUAAUUACCAAACAAGCUUCCACAUAAAAAAUGAGGAUAGUUGCUGGUCAAUCCAUUCCCUAUUUCAAAACCAUUGUGUAAUGGAUUAUAAAACAAUUUUAUAGCCUAUCUUUAAGAAUCACAGUGGACUAAUUUACACUCCACCAACAGUGUAAAAAGCAUUCCUAUUUCUUCACAGCCUCGCCGGCAUCUGUUGUUUCCUGACUUUUUAUUAAUAAUCACCAUUCUAACUGGUGUGUGAUGGUAUCUCAUGGUUUUGAUUUGCAUUUCUCUAAUGACUAGUGAUGCUGAACUUUUUUUUCAUAUGUUUAUUGGCCGCAUGAAUGUCUUCUUCUGAAAUGUGUCUGUUUAUAUCCUUUGCCCACUUUUUGAUGGGGUUGUUUGUUUUUUUCUUGUAAAUUUUUUUUAAGUUCAUUGUAGAUUCUGGAUAUUAGCCCUUUGUCAGGUGGAUAGAUUGCAAAAAUUUUCUCCCAUUCUAUAGGUUGCCUGUUUACCCUGAUGCUAGUUUCUUUUGCUAUGCAGAAGCUCCUUAGUUUAUUUGGAUCCCAUUUGUCAAUUCUGGCUUUCCUCAAGGAUCUAGAACCAGAAAUACCAUCUGCCAGCAAUCCCAUUACUGGGUAUAUAUUCAAAGGAUUAUAAGUCAUUCUACUAUAAAGACACAUGCACAUGUAUGUUUAUUGCAGCACUAUUCACAAUAGCAAACACUUAGAACUAACCCAAAUGCCCAUCAAUGAUCGACUAGAUAAAGCAAAUGUGGCACUUAUACACCAUGGAAUACUAUGCAGCCAGAAAAAAGAAUAGGAUCAUGUCUUUUGCAGGGACACGUGUGAAGCUGGAAGCUCAGCAAACUAACACAGGAACAGAAAACCAAACACCACAUGUUCUCACUCAUAAGUGGGAGUUGAACAAUGAGAACACAGGGAGACAGGGAGUAGAACAUCACACACUCGGGCCUGUUGGUGGAUGGGGGGCCAGGGGAGAGAGAACAUUAGGACAAAUACCUAAUGCAUGUGGGGUUUAAAACCUAGAUGACGGGUUGAUAGGUGCAGCAAACCACCUUGGUGCAUGUAUACCUAUGUAAGAAACCUGCAUAUUCUGCACAUGUAUCCCGGUACUUAUAAUAAAAUAAAAAUAAAUUAAUUAAUUAAGAAAAAGAAUCACAGUGGAAUGAGGGGGCCUUAAUUCUUGGAGUUGGGAAAGACAUUAGAAAUAAUCUAGUCUGUGUUCUUCAUUUUAUAAAUGAGGGAACUGAGGCCUGCAAAGGUCCAAUCACUUUUACAAGAUUAUACAUCUAGGUAAUGGCAAAGCUAAAACUCCUCCCUAGGACUCCUGCUCUCUAUUCCAGCACUGUGCACAUUAUACCAUUCAACAUCUUCUGUAGUAGUAAAAAUAUAGGUAUCAUUGCAGAACAUUCCACUUUUGACUGAUACACAUUCAAAUCCCACUAUCCAGUAUGCAUAUACAGCCUUAAAUGAGAGUCUAGUUUAGAACACAGCAACUGGCAAUGUGUUGUUUUCUCAGUUACUUCAAUUUCUCUCUAUGGAGUCUCCAUCUGUCCAGAAAAACAUACGUAUUUUGAUGAAAACCUUAAACUUCUAAGGAAAAAUCACUUGAAGGCUAAUGUUAGAUACAUUUUUAAAAAAGCAAAUAAACUUUUGUCAAUAAGUAAGGAAAAGAAUUAUAGAGUAAGCUCUCCAAAGAAUAGACUAUUCGGUUCCAACCUCUCUCUGAGGUGUGUUGAGGUUCCUCUACACUCACGGGGCAUUAGACAGUUGAUUCUUUUUCUUCUCUAGUGCAUCAUGUGCAUAGAGUAGUAUUAAAAAUUGGUUUGGACACAGGAGUCCAUCUUAAAGCGGAUCACGUGUGACCUUGUACAUUGUUCCCACACUUAGGUAAACUCCUUCCUCUUCUCUUCCAACCCCUGUGCCAAAGCCCUCUGAAAAUCCCAUAUGUUAUUGCUUUGCAAAACUCAAAUCCUGUACAUUUGUCCUUGAAUAUGACAGUAAUGUAUAGUUUAUUUUCCAGAUGGAGAAAGUCUUUGUCAUAAAAAUCAAUAACUUUAAAAUGUAUAUAUUAGUUAACAGUAACUUGGAAGUGAUUCAAAGGAAAAAUAAAGCUAUUUUCACCAUUAGUAAGUCCAAGGGACUCAUAAAACUUUCAGUGGUGUUUGAAUCAAAAUAUAGGCUGCUCUCUCUUCAAUUAAUGGAAGUUGCAUAGGAAUGUAAGAUGGCCUUAAUUUAUGUAAGUUCUUAAAUUUUUUUAUAUUUUUAUUAUGUAUUGCCUUUAGUUUAAAUUUCUACAUAAAACUAAAUGACUGAGGCAUAUUUUUGCAUGUACAUAUUCAAACAAUAUUUCUCUCAAAAUAUUAAGAACAAAGUAUAUUAAUUUCAGAUAUCCCAAACUUGACAAUAUGUUAAGGUUAUGUAUAUUAUUAGUUUUUCUAUAUAACUCUCAUGCUAAACUAAUUGAUAUUUAAUUUAAAAUAUUAUUAUAUUUUAGGUCACAAUUUGGCUCCUUAAAAUCUAAAAAGAAAAACAUUUUUAAAACCUAAUAGAAAGAUUUCUGAGAAUUUUAAUGAAAGUUAAAAUGGACUAAAACCAUUAAGCUGUACAGGAAAGUAGAUUUCGCUGCCUGGAUUAAAUUAAGAGCUGCCUUAAAAAUACAUAUUUUGAUAUAUAAAAUAUUUUUUCAGAAUGUUAAAUACAUGUCUAUAAUAACAUUGCUUUAAAAGUGAAACCAAUUAAUUUUGUUUCAAUAUUCAAACUGGGAAAAAUACUAGAACAAAAAAAAGUAAUGAAAUAAAAUACAUAGGUGGUGGCUGAUUUAUGUCUUUUUUAGUCUUUUAGCUAUUUUAUAUGACUUUCAGUUUAAUAAUUUAGCAUAGUAUUACAAGCAAAAAUUAAACUUUCUCUCUGUGUAUCCAAUUUCUUUCUGACCAUGCCACUUCCAUGUGUUCUCUCAGAUAUGAGUUAACAAGACAAAUGAGCAGAGAAACUAUGACUCUCCAUGCUGCAGAAGGAAAAUGCUCCUAGCGAACAUCUGCUUUGGGACCAAGGACAGAACCCAGAGGGCUAACAAAGAAGCACCAUGGAGUUGGUACACAGACCUCUGAGAACGGAUCCUAAAUGGCUAUCGCUGCUACCUGGCAUCUCACCAGAGAACUGGUUCUGGAAGCUCUCAAGGAAGGUUGAAGCUUUUAACUGCUACUGACCAAUACAGGAAAAACAGAAAUGUGUCUGGGGUCCUAAAACAUUGCACGACUGUGUUUUCCUCCAGCUCAGGCUUCUCUACCUUUCUUCCUUUGGAGCAUCUGUUAUGCAACGUAUUGAAAAGCAAAUUGCCUGUUUUGGAAAGGGUGAUUUCCUUUUGAGGCCAUCUUAAUCUCCAAGGAAAAUGUAGAGACACACAAAAAUAUGCACAAACAGCUGGAGUACAGGUUGACGUUAGUGAAACCAAACCUUUUUUUAAAAUAUAUUCAGAAAUGUGAGUGAAGUUACUUUUUGUAAAACUUCCCUGCUGUCCUCACAGCACAGCAUGCAGCUCUAUGAGGCUGAAUAUGCUUUAUUUUCACACAAACUUUUCUUAACAUGGGUCAGUAUUGACAGUGUAAUCUUUACAAAAUAUGCCUCUGAUGAAGAAAAUAAAUCCUCCACUUCUAAUAGCAGGGUUGUAAAAAAAAAUACAGCUCAAAACAGUUCAAACAAGUUUCAAACAAGGAAACUUGUUUGAAAUACCAUGCUGCCGAAACAUGUAAGAAUAUACUUACUUUUUAAUCUCAGAAUGACUUUCACUGGUUUAUCUUUAAUGUAAUUAUUUUUAGCCCUUAUGAUUUAAGUUUGGCUUCAUGUGAUCCAUCUGGUUGGAUCAGAGCCAAUACUUAUAUGUUCCUCUCAGGUUUACUGAGUGCUUACAUAAAUAUUAUCUGGCAAAGUAGGUAUUUCUCUUAUCCCCAUUUCACAAACAUUUGGUGAUUGCUUUUGCAGAUGUUACCCAAAGAUGUUACGGUAAACUCUAAAAAUUCAAAAAACUUAGUCUAUCUAAUUGUUCUUUUUCAUGAAGUGUCAGACAUUUGUUUAUGGUAAAUUUAUUCCAUUGUAUUUUUGUAAACCAAUUAAAGUGGAGUGACAAAAUGAUAAUAAAUCUAGUUUAUGUCUAAACAUGUGACAAUACUCUUUCAUCACUGAAGAGAUGUUGUUAAGAAAUAUAUUUGGCUACCAGUAGUUAUAGCCUAAACAAGAGACAUGUAGCUUUGUCUCAUGUUAAAGAAAUCUGAAAGCAGGCAGCUCAGGUUGAGGAAACCACGCUAUAUAUAUUAUAUAUAUUGUGUAUAUACUAUUUCUUAGGGAACUACACGUUCCUUUCUGCUCUGCCAUUCCCAGCACACACAUGGUUUCCAUUUUCAGGGCCCAGGGUAGUUUUCAGAGCUCCAGCCAUCUUCUGCAUCAUUUUCUGUUAGGAUGCAGAAGAAAAGGAAAGAAAAGCAAAAAGGUUUUUUCAGAAGUCCCACCCAAUAAUUGUUCUAUCUACAUUUCACUGGACAUCCUAGUUCCAGGGGACAUGGCAACAGUAGAUUCCGGGAUGGCUCAUCAUUGCAGGGCUGAGACUGGGGAUUUGUUAUUGAAAAAGAAAGGAUGAAUGGAUUGGACAACAAAACUUGCUGUUUUUGUCACUCUUCCAGAAAGGGUUUCUCUACUUUUAAGAAUAGAAUCUAUUGAACCCUCCAAACUAUUACCCCACAUAUUUUUUUAAAAAGUCCCACUAAUGGUUUAAAGAGUAUCCUUGGUUGAAUAAAAAUGUAAUGGAAAAAACAAAAUUAAGAUAAAGCGAAGGUGACAGUUGAAAAUCGAAAAGUAUCCACCCCAGAUCAGAGACUAUAUAAUAGCAGUGAAAAAUGAACUAGAAUUUAGUAAAAAUCUAUGUUAUUCCUCUACAGGAAUCACUUCCUGUAGGUAUCUUGAGACUGUUAAGGAAGCAUGCUUAAAUUAUGACUAUUGCUCUAUGGGGUUCUGAGAGCUAGAAGGAAUGAAAACAUCCAGAGUCUUACACAUUCCCAUCAUGAACAUGACUUAAAGUCUAAAAUCAUUAUACUAUUGACAUCGAACAUUAGAAAAACAGUGAAUUAUUGAAAAUCAAAUUAACUCCUAAUCUCAAAAUUUACAUUAUAAACAUAAAAAUGUGCUAGAGCACGUUAGCAAUUCAGUGCUAGUAAAUUAAACAAAAGCAAGAUAGGAUUUAAAAUACAGUUUUAUUAAGAACCGACUGAUUGUGAAAAAUCAUAUAAACAUUCCCUUAUACUACUUGGAGAAAAUGAGUGGCAAAAACAUAUAGAAACGCUAAAUAAUGCAUUUUAGGCAUAUGUGUGUGGUAUAUAAAUAUAUAGAAAAAGUAAUAAAGCAGCCACAUUCCCUAACCUGGUAAUUCUACUCCUGGGAAACUCUUUUUGAAAAAGAUGGAUCCUAAAUCCUGAAAAAAAGGUUUGAUGCACAAUCUUUACAGCAGCAGGAUUUGGAAGUAAAAAAUUUAAAAUAGCUAGCUGUUCAACAACAGGAUAAUAACUUAGGUAACUGGUGAUACGUUCACUUACUGAAAACAGUAUUGCUAAUCAAGUAACUGAACAUGUAAGAAAAGGUCACAAGAGAACUCUAAGGUAUCACAGAGGUACAGACUGCAGGGAGCUCCUGGAGCUGGGAGAGAAAAAGGAAGAGAUUGAAGUUGAAACUUAGCACCUUCAUGGAGGAUCCCUGUGGACCCGUAGCCCAGACCUCUGAAAAGUCAGCCCCCUGGCUGAGGCUGAUGUUUCUGAGGUGUUGUGUGCUGAAGCUGGUUCUCUUAAGCGUGGGAACAACUGCAAACUGCAUCCACCCACUGCUCUGGCAGGGCGCUGCCAUUUGUAGGGUGAAAGAAGCAUCUCUGGAUGCUACGUAAGAAGUAGAUAGAAAGCACAAAGGAAGGAGUUCCGUCACUCCCUUUUCCUGUAGAGCUCAACACUCCCUGAAGCAUCUCCUCUAGGCAGAGCCUAACAGGGAACCAGCUAUCACAGCAGAAACUCCUGGCCCC